rnacentral:rRNA from 1 species
UGGGCUUGACUGUCCGGAAUUCUGCAAGAUGCGGGAGGCCUUCGGGGAAUCGGAACAC